rnacentral:tRNA from 2 species
CAAUUUAAAGCUUUAUUAGUUAAGCCUCUCAUUUACACUGAGAAGAUUUUUGUGCAAAUCAAUAUAAAUUGA